CCUACGGGGUGCAGCAGUGGGGAAUAUUGGACAAUGGGGGGAACCCUGAUCCAGCCAUGCCGCGUGUGUGAAGAAGGCCCUCGGGUUGUAAAGCACUUUCAGUGAGGAAGAACGCCUGGUGGUUAAUACCCAUCAGGAAAGACAUCACUCACAGAAGAAGCACCGGCUAACUCCGUGCCAGCAGCCGCGGUAAUACGGAGGGUGCGAGCGUUAAUCGGAAUUACUGGGCGUAAAGCGCGCGUAGGUGGCUUGAUAAGCCGGUUGUGAAAGCCCCGGGCUCAACCUGGGAACGGCAUCCGGAACUGUCAAGCUAGAGUGCAGGAGAGGAAGGUAGAAUUCCAGGUGUAGCGGUGAAAUGCGUAGAGAUCGGGAGGAAUACCAGUGGCGAAGGCGGCCUUCUGGACUGACACUGACGCUGAGGUGCGAAAGCGUGGGUAGCAAACAGGAUUAGAUACCCUAGUAGUC
rnacentral:rRNA from 1 species